ensembl:miRNA MIR5587 microRNA 5587
AUGGUCACCUCCGGGACUCAGCCCUGUGCUGAGCCCCGGGCAGUGUGAUCAUC